GACUGGUCACCUUGGGAGCAGCUCACCACUGGUUAAAACAUAACCCUAGGAAAGCUGAAAUCUGAGUGACAGGCUUAAUGGCUUAAAAAUUAUCACAGGAGUAAAACAUUUAACACCAAACUAUGAGCAGGAAAAGAACAGAAUGCUCUAAAAUAUUCAGAGUGAAUGCACAUAAAUAUUUAUCUAUUUCCAAUACUUAACAGUGUAAAGUCCACAGCACGUCAUUAAUUCUGGUUAAUACAACUAUAUUAGAAACUGAGAAACAAUAUGGCAUGGAGGUUAAGAUACCCGAGAGCUCCACAGUCCUUCAGACAGGGUUGGAAUUCCAGCUCAACCACAGAUCAGCAAUGUGAAACCUUUAGGAAGUUACUGCAUUUCUUUGUGCUUUGAAUACUCCAUCUGUAGAACGGGUAAUCGUGUAAGGAAGAAAAGGGUUACAAGAGGUUUCUACUGCUGGGCUAAGGCCCUGGUGGCUUCUGGUAGCUAUAAAACCACGAACGUUAGGUAAGGAUUAGAGAAGAAACCCAGAGUGGCUGUGAGUCAAGAAAAGACAUCAGAUAACAGCAAUUAUUUUACCAUUAUGUGACACGUAAUACUAAUGUUCCUACCUGAAGAUAAAGAGCACAAUUUUAAAAUCUCCGCUCCUCCAUUUCCAAAAUCCAACAGCUGCUGGUCCCCCUACCACUUAAGCCAUAUUCUGCCCUCCAAUUCGGCUGCGCAGCCUGCAUUAGAGAAACACCAGUUUUAACUACUUAAGCCGGUGUCCAAAACGGAGAAAAAACGUCUCAGUCCUGCCUUAUCGCGACCAGGUACCAGGUGAUCAGAAAUCAACACGAGGAGGCUGGCUGUCCCCACACAAGCCCCGGAGCCUAGAACGAUGAGGCAAGAGGGCUGUUGGGCAGAGAACGUGACCUUGUUUUCCAGGCCAGGACUGUCUUGUGCUCCCCUAACCCCCUGUAAUGCAAGAAAAUUACUGAAUAGCUUCUGAACCUUUUCGUCCCAAGACCAAUGAUAUGAGAGCCAAAGUCAACUUCAUUAAAGGAGAACCAGCCAAGG